CUCGUAGUUGGAUUUCUGGCGGGGACCCAAGUACCCCUGGUGGGUGUGCUCGGGCCCGGCCAUCCUUCUGUAAACUUUCGCGCGUCCUUCACCGGUCGGCAAAGGGAUCAGAUAAUUUACCUUGAGAAAAUUAGAGUGUUUCAGGCAGGCUUAGCCGGAAUACAUUAGCAUGGAAUAAUGGAAUAGGACUGAGGUCUCGUUGUUGGUUACGCGGACUACAGUAAUGAUUAAU
rnacentral:rRNA from 1 species